rnacentral:lncRNA from 1 species
GUCACACACCACACAGCACCAUGUCCCAGUGCAAGGUCUGGGGCCAGGGAGGCCCAGCCUGCCCAUCAUGGCCUCAGGAGCCCCCAGGCUCUGCUGGUCCCGGAGCCGGAGCCCCUGACCUGGCCAGGGAGCGUGGAAGGGGGUGGGGGUGCUCCAGGCCUGGAGGCCCUGACUCGACCCCCUGUCCCCUGCCCUGCAGAAGCGGAACAGGGCCAUCACGGCCCGCAGGCAGCACCUGAAGAGUGUGAUGCUGCAGAUAGCGGCCACGGAGCUGGAGAAGGAGGAGAGCCGCCGUGAGGCAGAGAAGCAGAACUACCUGGCGGAGCACUGCCCGCCGCUGCAUAUCCCGGGCUCCAUGUCUGAAGUGCAGGUACCAGCCCCUCCCCGGCCACCCCGCCUCCCCAGCAGCAGGCCUGCCUGCUAACUCAGUUUCCCCACUUGUCAAGAGGGCCAGUGGGGUGGUCAGGGCAGGGGCAGGUGACCGUGGCUGCCAAGUGUCAGGACGGCCGCCCGCCCCCACACCCACCCCUAGGAGCUCUGCAAACAGCUGCACGCCAAGAUCGAUGCGGCUGAAGAGGAGAAGUACGACAUGGAGGUGAGGGUGCAGAAGACCAGCAAGGAGGUGAGUGGUGGCGGCGGGCCGGCGGCAGGCGGGUAGGCGGUGGCCCAGCGGGCAGGCGGGGCGGGCCGGGGAGGCCGAGACCACCGGGACCUCGGGCUCCCACCCGGCUCCCCUGCCCACAGCUGGAGGACAUGAACCAGAAGCUAUUUGAUCUGCGGGGCAAGUUCAAGCGGCCCCCACUGCGGAGGGUGCGCAUGUCGGCCGAUGCCAUGCUCAAGGCCCUGCUGGGCUCGAAGCACAAGGUGUGCAUGGACCUGAGGGCCAACCUGAAGCAGGUCAAGAAGGAGGACACAGAGAAGGAGCGGGACCUGCGAGACGUGGGUGACUGGAGGAAGAACAUCGAGGAGAAGUCUGGCAUGGAGGGCCGGAAGAAGAUGUUUGAGUCCGAGUCCUAGGCCACUCGCUGCCCCUACGCCUGCCCCGGUGCCCGGCUCCCAGCAGAACAUACUAGGGAGAUGCACCCAGAGCCUGCCAGGGAGGGCUGGCCUCACCACCACCGUCAAUAAAGGAUUUGAAUCCCC